rnacentral:rRNA from 1 species
GUUGCAGUUAAAAAGCUCGUAGUUGAACCUUGGGCCUGGCUGGCCGGUCCGCCUCACCGCGUGCACUGGUCCGGCCGGGUCUUUCCCUCUGGGGAGCCGCAUGCCCUUCACUGGGUGUGUCGGGGAACCAGGACUUUUACUUUGAAAAAAUUAGAGUGUUCAAAGCAGGCUUAUGCUCGGAUACAUUAGCAUGGAAUAAUAGAAUAGGACGUGCGGUUCUAUUUUGUUGGUUUCUAGGACCGCCGUAAUGAUUAAUAGGGACAGUCGGGGGCAUCAGUAUUCAAUUGUCAGAGGUGAAAUUCUUGGAUUUAUUGAAGACUAACUACUGCGAAAGCAUUUGCCAAGGAUGUUUUCAUUAAUCAGGAACGAAAGUUAGGGGAUCGAAGACGAUCAGAUACCGUCGUAGUCUUAACCAUAAACUAUGCCGACUAGGGAUCGGACGAUGUUAUUUUUUGACUCGUUCGGCACCUUACACGAAAGUACAAGUUUCUGGGUUCUGGGGGGAGUAUGGUCGCAAGGCUGAAACUUAAAGAAAUUGACGGAAGGGCACCACCAGGGGUGGAAUCUGCGGCUUAAUUUGACUCAACACGGGGAAACUCACCAGGUCCAGACACGAUGAGGAUUGACAGAUUGAGAGCUCUUUCUUGAUUUCGUGGGUGGUGGUGCAUGGCCGUUCUUAGUUGGUGGAGUGAUUUGUCUGCCUAAUCGCGAUAACGAACGAGACCUUAACCUGCUAAAUAGCCCGCGUUGCUUUGGCAGCGCGCUGGCUUCUUAGAGGGACUAUCGGCUCAGCCGAUGGAAGUUUGAGCAUAACAGUCUGUGAUGCCCUUAGAUGUCUGGCCGCACGCGCGUACACUGAC